CGCCGCCCUCCUCCGGCAGUCCAGUCGUCUCCGGAAAACAGUAGAUCGGUGCUCCCUUCUCCCUCAUCUCUCUCUCUUCUCUCCCCUCUUCACCGUCGCGCCACCAUCGCCGCUGCGGAUCACCGCCGUCGCGGGUCCGCCCAGCCGUCGUCGCCGAGGAUCUCCCUCCCCCUCCAGCCGCCGACGCCGAUUUCCGAGAGGAGGAAACUCGGUUCAAGCUCGUGGUGUCCGAGUUAAAGUACCCGCUUUCUUAAAACAUACAUUGUAUAAAUUUAAGUUUUGUUGGAUGUAUCGAACAUUAAAAUUUUGAUUAUGGGACUUAUUUAUUAA